rnacentral:rRNA from 1 species
GACGAACGCUGGCGGCGUGCCUAACACAUGCAAGUCGAGCGAGGUUGCGGAUGGGUGCUUGCACCCUGAAGCUACCUAGCGGCGGACGGGUGAGUAACGCGUGAGUAACCUGCCUUAUACAGGGGGAUAACAACGAGAAAUCGUUGCUAAUACCGCAUAAGACCACGGUAUCGCAUGGUACAGGGGUAAAAGAGCAAUCCGGUAUAAGAUGGACUCGCGUCCCAUUAGCUAGUUGGUGAGAUAACAGCCCACCAAGGCAACGAUGGGUAGCCGACCUGAGAGGGUGAUCGGCCACGACUGGGACUGAGACACGGCCCAGACUCCUACGGGAGGCAGCAGUGGGGAAUAUUGGGCAAUGGGCGAAAGCCUGACCCAGCGACGCCGCGUGAAGGAUGAAGGUCUUCGGAUUGUAAACUUCUUUGAUCAGGGAAGAAAGAAUGACGGUACUGAAGAACAAGCCACGGCUAACUACGUGCCAGCAGCCGCGGUAAUCACGCG